AAUAUUGGACAACGGGGGCAACCCUGAUCCAGCCAUGCCGCGUGUGUGAAGAAGGUCUUCGGAUUGUAAAGCACUUUAAGUUGGGAGGAAGGGCUUUAGGUGAAUACCCUGAAGUCUUGACGUUACCAACAGAAUAAGCACCGGCUAACUCUGUGCCAGCAGCCGCGGUAAUACCGAGGGUGCAAGCGUGAAUCGGAAUUACUGGGCGUAAAGCGCGCGUAUGUGAUUCAGUAAGAUGGGUGUGAAAUCCCCGGGCUUAACCUUGGAACUGCUUUCAUAACUGCUGAACUAGAGUACGGUAGAGGGUAGUGGAAUUUCCUGUGUAGCGGUGAAAUGCGUAGAUAUAGGAAGGAACACCAGUGGCGAAGGCGACUACCUGGACUGAUACUGACACUGAGGUGCGAAAGCGUGGGGAGCAAAC
rnacentral:rRNA from 1 species